rnacentral:rRNA from 1 species
UACGUAGGUGGCAAGCGUUGUCCGGAUUUAUUGGGUUUAAAGGGUGCGUAGGCGGUUCCAUAAGUCAGUGGUGAAAUACGGCAGCUCAACUGUCGAGGUGCCAUUGAUACUGCGGAACUUGAGUACUGAUAAGGUAGGCGGAAUUGACGGUGUAGCGGUGAAAUGCGUAGAUAUCGAGAGGAACACCUGCGGCGAAGGCGGGUUGCUGGGCUGACACUGACGCUGAUGCGCGAAAGCCAGGGGAGCGAACGGG